GCUGGAGUAAGGGUCAACAACUGGAUAUAAUUAAGCAAGCAAGCUACCACUGAGCAGUCAAGAGCAGUGCAUCAUUGUUCUCUGAAAAGCAAAGAAUACGGAACUUAAGCUAUGAAGAUAAGACUGAAUAAGUGAUUGUUCGAAGGAGCAUUUAUUCAGAGAUCAGAAUGGCCUGAGAAUGGCACAUUAAACUUUUCUGCUGGAG